CAGUAGCCGCGGUAAUACGUAGGGUGCAAGCGUUUAUCGGAAUUACUGGGCGUAAAGCGUGCCCAGGCGGUUAUAUAAGACAGAUGUGAAAUCCCCGGGCUCAACCUGGGAACUGCAUUUGUGACUGUAUAGCUAGAGUACGGCAGAGGGGGAUGGAAUUCCGCGUGUAGCAGUGAAAUGCGUAGAUAUGCGGAGGAACACCGAUGGCGAAGGCAAUCCCCUGGGCCUGUACUGACGCUCAUGCACGAAAGCGUGGGGAGCAAACAGGAUUAGAUACCCGUGUAGUCCCUGUCUCUUAUAC
rnacentral:rRNA from 1 species